GAUGAACGCUGGCGGCGUGCCUAAUACAUGCAAGUCGAGCGAACAGACGAGGAGCUUGCUCCUCUGACGUUAGCGGCGGACGGGUGAGUAACACGUGUAUCACCUACCUAUCAGACUGGGAUCACUUCGGGAAACCGGAGCUAAUACCGGAUAAUAUAUUGAACCGCAUGGUUCAAUAGUAAAAGACGGUUUUGCUGUCACUUAUAGCUGGAUCCGCGCUGCAUUAGCUAGUUGGUAAGGUAACGGCUUACCAAGGCGACGAUGCGUAGCCGACCUGAGAGGGUGAUCGGCCACACUGGAACUGAGACACGGUCCAGACUCCUACGAGAGGCAGCAGUAGGGAAUCUUCCGCAAUGGGCGAAAGCCUGACGGAGCAACGCCGCGUGAGUGAUGAAGGUCUUCGGAUCGUAAAACUCUGUUAUUAGGGAAGAACAAAUGUGUAAGUAACUAUGCACGUCUUGACGGUACCUAAUCAGAAAGCCACGGCUAACUACGUG
rnacentral:rRNA from 1 species